AGGCUGAAAGCAGAGAAGUACAGAAGCUGACUCUUGGAGAAGAUUCCCUGACCGAAAAGGCACCACGCUCAUCCAGACCCGAGGGUUCUAGGAAAUGUCCCAGGCUGGACCAGAACAAUCCAGGAAUAGCUUGGAGCAGGGAUCCAGGCUUGGUUAUGAGGGCUCAGACUGCGAUGAGAAUCCAGGGUUCAGGCUGAGGUGGGGAUUAGAACUUGUCCAAUAGCAGAGACGGAGGCUCAGCUUGAGAGGGAGACGUGAGGUAAGCCUGAGGUGGUUAUCUUGGCUCUGGUUUAGGUAAAAAUGAAGGCUCAUCCUGAGGUGGUCACUUGCCCUUGUCCUGACAUGGAGACUCAUAUCCAAAACAGGACAGAGAUAUAGAUUCAGCUUGCAAGAUGGACAUAGCCUUAAUUUGAGGUAGGAGUUUGGGUUCAAGCAAGGUAUCCAAGGUCAGUUUGAGGUGACGCCUAGCCAUAAGCUGUGGCAGAGCCUCAGGUUCAGGAUGGGAAGAAACUCAAGGUCUGCUUAGGGUAGGAACCAGCAUUUGCCAAGGAAGAAAUCAAGAGUUCAGCCUGCACAGGAGAUCCAAACUUGAGCUAUACAGCCCUUCAGGAGAUCAGUGGUCACCGAGUGCCCCACAGUCAAGCCCCGAGACCUGCAGGGAAGUGGCUAAGCUCUGCCUCGUGACAGUGAGGUGUUAGUAAGAAGUAUUAAGCAACACCUUUUUUAUCAGGGUUGGCCUACUGCCUGUUCUCAAAAUAGCCGCCUGCUAUGUUUCGGGGCUGAUCUGGGGAGCAGCCAGCCGUGUACUUACACUGAAGGGUCAGCUAGGAAGAGGUGAUGGGGCAGGGUCUGCUUACCUGAGGUAGGAGAUGACGCCCAUGGCCCUGCAAGAAUGAAAACACCACGUUUGUGAGUCACACCAGGCCUGUCCCACAGGCAAGGGGUACGCAUGUGGGGGUUGGAGAAGCCUGGGGCUGGAAGAGGAGGCAGAGGCUCAGAGGCUCCUCAGCUGCCAGGCAGACACACAUGGAGGACAGAGAGGUUCCAGAUCAACAGCCCUCCUGGUGGGCCAUCCACUCACCAGAUGUCUGAGCCCUCACUCACAGGACUCUGCUCGAUGAUCUCUGGGGACACGAAUUCAGGUGUAGACACCGGCAUCGUGUGGAGUCACGUCCAUCAACACCAAGGAAUAUGUAGUUCCACCUUGCUGCUGCCUCAGCCGGGUACCGUUCACCAGCUGGUUGCUGUCCUGGACAAACAGGGCUACCAUCAGCCUAUCCUGGGAUGUGCCAGCCCCCGACUCACACACGCUUCCUGGAGCAGCACUUCCAAUACCUGCUGUGUGCCCAGCCCCAGGGGCAGGCCAGAAGUGGGAUAGGAAGGUACUGAAUUGGGCUGCAGGGGGGGCUUUGGAGUGGGGGGUUGCAGGUUGCAUGAUGGGGUGCAUGAGCCCCAUUCCACACGUCCACUUAAUCUCACCCAUGCCCUCCAGCUCCUGAAGCCUGUCCCCUCCCCCUGCUGCCUGGGCCUACUCCUCCUACCUUGUACCAGGUCACUGUUGGCGGUGGGUUGCCUUCAAUGACAGCAUCAAACUGUGCCAUGUCACCCACUUGUACUUGUAGGUCCUCGAUAGUGACCUGCAUGGAUGGGGCCCCUGGGAGAGGUGGGAAGAGAGCCUGUGUGGAGGGACCCUCGGGAAUUCAUAGCCCUGGGUGCACAGCCCACUUAGGUGUACAUCUGUGGUCAGUAAAGCCUUGACUUAUGUCCCUUCAGCCAGAAAGUCCACCUCCUUCCCUGGUGACAGUGACCCCAGCCUCACUGUCUAGGCCCCUAGCAGUUGUGAAGUGCUUCCCACAGUACAGCCCCUGUUCUUCCUGCUCUAACUUGAGCUAGCCAAGCAAUCACACAGACAUCCAGCCAAAGAAGGCAGAGCGCUCAUCUCCACUCUCUAGUACAGAGCCUGCAGCUACCACAUCUGCUGCUGUUUGACUCUUCCCAGAGGGGUCUAGAACCUCCAAGGGGACACAGGGAGAAUAAAGGGGGAGACAUGGACUGAGGCAUCGUGCCUUGUGACUUAAUCAGGUGCUCACAAAGUGCCCCCAGUGCCCGGCAUGGGUGUACCCCCGUCAGGCUGGCCCACUUCCAUACUUGUGACACCUGUGUCAGGAGCUUGGCACACAUAGGUCCUCUGUGUGGUCUCCAUGAUGACUUGGCUGUGCACAUCCAAGAGCAGCUGCCCAGUGCCUCCGCCUGGCCAGGCCGUGCCCUCCACCCUGGAGUCAAGACAGGGUGGUCUCUGCUCACGGAAGCACCUUGGACCUCUCUGGGACCUGAGCCCCAGGAUAGGAUGAGGACCCUACCAUCUCUACUUGUGGGGUUAGAUGUGUGCAUAGAGGACCCCGGCUUCUCCCCAGAACCUUGUGCUCUAGGGCGAGUCCCUCUUCCCUCCCCUGCCCACCAGCUUGGGCUGGGGCCUGUAAGAAGUGUGCUGAAGAGCUUUUAAGUCUAUCCCGCUAAUCUUCAAGCCCAUGAGGCCAGAGCAAGUGGGUUCUGCACUGCCUGCCCUGGGGGUGUCCCUUGGAGGGCAGUUUUGCACAUGACCCAUCUGGCUCAGGAGGUUACCGAAUGGGUACAUUCCGUUCCUGGGAUCCAGAAGUUGUUGUCAUCCCCUGCUCCAGGCCUUUGUAUGUGCCGGGCCGUGAAGCCUCUGGGAGUUUGCCUGAUAGAAAAUAGGGAACCUAGUGAGUUAAGUCCUGACUGGGGUGGGAAGGACAUUCAGACAUUCUUUAACAAGCAUGGGUUCCCCAUAUGACCAGUGUGGGGUAGAUUGCAAAAUCGAGCAGCUCCAGGGCCAGGAUGAAAACCCGGAGUGAGAACCAGGCAGUCCUGGGCCACCACAACCUAGUACCAUAUGCUGGCAGCCUUGCUAAAGCCAGAUACGAGACCUCUCCAGUUUCCCUCCACGGCAACAAGCCUGGUACCCCAGCCCACCAGCCAGGCUGUCAUUGAGAUGUAGAAGUUCUGCCCCCUAGGACCUGUAUAUCCAGCCAAGCUGAAGUUACGGUGACAUGAUAGCAGGACACGGGUGGCAGUGUGGGAUUUAGCUGAGUGGACAGAUGACACAUCUGGGGAAACUGAAACUCCGAAUGGAAGCGAGCAUCUCUGGGUCCUUGUACAUGCACAGUGGGCCCAGUUCACAGAUUGGGAAACCGAGGUCAAGUUAAAGGCGAGCCACAGCCAGGCAAAGUACAUGAUGACACAUAAAGCCACAAAGACACCAAGGUGCCCCAGAGCUCUGCAAGCUUGUAAUCAUGGCAUGGGCAAUCAAGGUGACCCUUUGGAUCACAUGGCCUGGGAUGGGGUGGGGUUAGCAAAGGAGAGGAGGAAUCUUUGUGGUCAGCUCCCUACCAGGCCUUACCAGGUGUUCCUGAAGUUGUGCCUGGGAUCUGGGGAGCAGCCUCUUCUGAUGUGGGUGGCUCACUUUGUCUGGUGUUGGGGAAACCCCCUGGGGAGGGGCUGAGGGCUUCUGAGCCCAGCAGCCUCCAAAGGACAGAAGCGGCUUGUUGGUCAGCUCCCUCCUGAGUGGGGUGGGCAGAGUCCUCCAUGGAGGCGUCUGUGGACAGGAGGGUGGGAAUACAAAGUAAGUCUGGACGGGGCAUCGGAAUCCCUGGCACAGGCUCGGAGUGCCCGCCCCAGUUCUCAGAGAUUGCCUUCUUGCACCUGACUUGCUGCUACCCACUGUUUCUUGCUUGGGAAGCCACCUGGACGGGGAGGUUCAGGAGGAUAUGAAACGUUGAGGAGCACCUAAAUGGUCUAAGUUCAGACAAAGCCAGUGUCCUUACCCAGUUCCUAGUGAGCAGCCCCCAGCACUCCUCUAAACCUCUCCUGGGUGGCUGUGGAGCCUGUACUUCCCCUGUGCCUCUUUUCAGACCUGGAUACCUACGUGGGGGCCCAACACACAUGCCCCAGCACUGCUGACCACCCCUUUGCCAAUAAACCCCCUCCUUGCCCAGAUCCUCCCCAAUAUGUGGGGAUGAGGCAUUUCUGACAUCCCCAGACACAACCUGGACAGCUGUCCUCUACCCUACCAGGCCAGAAGCCCCCUUAGAACAGGCCCCACGGCUAGAGGUUUCCUGGGGCCCCACUCCCUCGCAGACAAGUGCUAGUGUCCUGGGCCGCCACCUCUGCAGAUGGUGAGAUUGACCCCUAUACACCAAGAGCUUAGGAAAUGAGGGUCACCCACUCUCACUCCCGACUCCCAUUUGUCCUACAAUGACCUCAGCUAUCCAGGGAUUAGGAAGGCCUGCUCGGAUCCUAACAGGCCAAAAGUGAUUGUCAUGGCUGCUCUGGUUACAUUGUGAAUCCCAAAGACCAGCUCUAAAGACGGUCAAGGACCAAUUCAAAUCCUGUCCUUCAUCUACCUGUUAUGGUCUGUAUAUGCUCAGCCAAGGGAGUGGCACUAUUUGAAGGUGUGGCCUUGUUGGAGUAGGUGUGUCACUGUGGGUAGGGGCUUUGAGACCUUCAUCCUAACUGCCUGGAAGCCAGUCUUCUGAUAGCAGCCUUCAGACGAAGACGUGGAACUCUCAGCUCCUCCUGUACCAUGCCUGCCUGGAUGCUGCCAUGUUCCCACCUUGAUGAGAAUGGACUGAAUCUGAGAACCUGUAAGCCAGGCCCAAUGAAAUGUUGUCCUUA